rnacentral:lncRNA from 1 species
GGCUGCGCUGGUUCUGCUCUGUCCGGGUCGGAGAUGAACUGACCCGGGAGAGCAGCGGAGGGAUGUUUCUUUCGGCCAACAGUGGGGACUCACCUGCACGUUUUGCGAAGAGACCCACAGUCCUUUGCGUGGCGCUCGGACUACAUUUCCCAACGGCCCCUGCACGCCCUGGGGGCUGUUCCAUGCGGUGUUGCGCCUGCGUAGCCGGCGGGCUGGCAGUGAGACUGACUGCGUCGGGGUUGAGACUGGGUGGAUGAGGCUCACCCCGGCGGGGAGAAGGGACGAGGAGGGGCGGACAGCGGAAGGUCCGGGAGUGUCCGCCAUUGCGUAAUUGUGAGUCUGUGAGAGAAGAUGUGAAGUAUGGCCUCGUCCCGGUCAUCUGGGCGUGCGGGUCCCGGGUUUUGAUCGCGCGUUUGUUUUUAACUUCUAGUCAUGGUGAAUGAUCCCAGGAGAGCACAGACUGGACCCUGCUACGAUCUCUCUUGGAGUGGAUCAGACUGAUGAUCACCAACAACCAACUCAUUCCCAGAUAAGGAAGAAGAGAGUGUCACCUACUUCAGUGUGGUUUCAACCCUACUUCUGCAUCUUAAAGACACUGUAUUGUUUCAGCAGUAGUGCCCCUGUUCAUUAGUCCCCCUGAUGUUUUCAUUCCUCAUCUCAUCUUUUUCUUAGCAGCAUUCAAUGAAUCCUUCAUUCUAGAAACACUCUAUAUCUUUGGUUUUCAUGAGACCAUUCUCACCUUGUUUUGUCCUAUGACUUUUUUGAAAAAAACAAAAACAAAAAACCCUUUUUUUCUUUUUAAAUUCUGGUAAAAAACACAGUGAAAAUUUGCUAUCUUAACCAUGUUGAAAUGUGCAGUUAGUAAAGUACAUUCACAUUGUGGUGCAAGCCAUCACUACCAUCCAUCACUAGAACCCUUUUCAUCUUGCAGAUCUGAAACUCUACCCAUUAAACAACUUCCCAUCUUCCCAUCCCCACAGCUCCUAGCAACCAACAUUCUACUUUCUCUAUCAGUUUGACUACUCUAGGUACCUCAUAUGAGUAGAAUCAUACAGCAUUUAUCCUUCUUUGCCUGGCUUAUUUCACUUGUAUAAUGUCCUCAAGGUUCAUCCAUGUUGUAGCAUGCAUCAGAACUUCCUCCCCUUUUAAAGGCUGGAUAAUAUUUCAUGGUAUGUUUAGACCACAUUCUGUUUAUCCAUUCAUCCAUCAGUGAACACUUGUGCUCCUUCCAACUUUGGGCUGUUGGGUGUCCUGCUACUGUUGCUCCCAGUGCUCAAUCUUGUUUACUCCCUCCUAAUCGAGUGUACAGCGUUGGACACUGUGC